CGCAAUAUAUAGCUUCACCGCACUACUUAGAUCCAAAGUUUCUAUGAGUCACCAGAUCAAGUCACACUGUCACACAAGCGGGCGGAGGCACCAUCUCUGAGCGUAGAAGGCGGCAAAGCCACCAAAUCUGAACGCACAAAGCGGCGGAGCUGCCAGAUCUUGGCACAUAAGACGGUACAACAGCAUAAACGGCCAAUGAGAGCAUCACCACCUUAGAAUCACGUAGACGAAAAUGGAUCCAGCUCUCCAACAGCUACAAAUCCAACUCUCAUUCUCACACACACUCUCUCUCUUUCAUUUCUCCCUCACUUUGCAGUCUCUUUCCCUCAAACUCUCCUCCCUCUACUCUCUAACUCUCUAUUCUCUAUGAAAACACAGAGAAAACCCGCAGAAACCACCACCACUCCUCGUUUCUUUGUCCUUCCCAAAACCCAAAAACAAAUACUACGAGUUUGAAACCAAGCCCGAGGCGUUACACCGCACAGUGGCUACUGCCACUGUUCAGUGUCUUCCCCAACGAAAUCUGGGCGAGUUCUCGAUGACUCCGACUAAGAUCGACUUAAGGGAGAACCCUCCCCAGUUUUCCGGUGUUUCACCAUGCAUUCCAAGCCAUUUUCAGGUCGUCUCCGGCCACUAGUCGACCCUAUUUUGUUACUUCUCCUCAUUCCUAGCUUUAAAUCCAUAUAUUGCAUGUUAAAUAUAGUUGUGAAUCGACCUUGGGACGAGUUUCGGAAAUCUGCCCCGAAAGUGGCUGAUUCACACAGGCCUCUCCAAGCGAGUGUGCCUUUCGUUCUAACUUAAAUGCUACAAGUAGAAUCUGUAUUAGGAAAACUUAACUUUCAAGUUGCAUAUGUAAUUCAUAAGUGAUUUGUAAAUUA